UGGGGAAUAUUGCGCAAUGGGCGAAAGCCUGACGCAGCGACGCCGCGUGAGGGAUGAAAGUUUUCGGAUCGUAAACCUCUGUCAGAAGGGAAGAAACCGCACUGUGCUAAUCAGCAGUGCCUUGACGGUACCUUCAAAGGAAGCACCGGCUAACUCCGUGCCAGCAGCCGCGGUAAUACGGAGGGUGCAAGCGUUAAUCGGAAUUACUGGGCGUAAAGCGCACGUAGGCUGCUUUGUAAGUCAGGGGUGAAAUCCCACGGCUCAACCGUGGAACUGCCUUUGAUACUGCUUAGCUUGAAUCCGGGAGAGGGUGGCGGAAUUCCAGGUGUAGGAGUGAAAUCCGUAGAUAUCUGGAGGAACAUCAGUGGCGAAGGCGGCCACCUGGACCGGUAUUGACGCUGAGGUGCGAAAGCGUGGGGAGCAAACAGG
rnacentral:rRNA from 1 species